rnacentral:rRNA from 1 species
UGCGGUUAAAAAGCUCGUAGUUGGAUCUCGGCAAGUAGAGGGCGGUAUGCUUCGUAGCAUUACUGCCCUAUUACUUGUAGUUUUGCCAGAGGUUCCUGGGUGCUCUUAAUCGAGUGUCUAGGGAUGCUGGCAGGUUUACUUUGAAAAAAUUAGAGUGCUCAAAGCAGGCUAUUACGCUUGAAUAUUCGUGCAUGGAAUAAUAGAAUAGGAAGUUGUUUCUAUUUUGUUGGUUUUCGGAAAUCGACUCAAUGAUUAAUAGGGACAGUCGGGGGCAUUUGUAUUCAAACGACAGAGGUGAAAUUCUUGGACCGUUUGAAGACAAACUACUGCGAAAGCAUUUGCCAAGAAUGUUUUCAUUAAUCAAGAACGAAAGUUAGAGGUUCGAAGGCGAUUAGAUACCGCCCUAGUUCUAACCAUAAACGAUGCCAGCUAGCGAUCUGAGGACGUUUUUUUUGUAGACUCCUCAGGAAGCUUCCGGGAAACCAAAGCGUGUGGGUUCCGGGGGAAGUAUGGUUGCAAAGCUGAAACUUAAAGGAAUCGACGGAAGGGCACCACCAGGAGUGGAGCCUGCGGCUUAAUUUGACUCAACACGGGAAAUCUCACCAGGCCCGGACACUGGAAGGAUUGACAGAUUGAGAGCUCUUUCUCGAUUC